UUUAGCUUAGUGGUAGAGCAUCUGCUUUGUAUGCAGAACGUCCCAGGUUCAAUCCCAGCAUUAUCAG